UUUUUUAAUUUUGAUCUUAUUGUGAUUUUGACUCAAUUACAUACUUUCCAAUUGUUUUCACAUGAACCCAUGCAUUGAUCAUAUUGACUAUGAACCUUGGAAGCCAUGAAUUUAUGGAGAAAUUAUGAAUCUAUGAAUGAUGUUUUCAUGAAGUUAUGCAUGAUUUAUGAAAAGAAAUGUUUUACGACUAGGUUGCUCUACGAUGAC
rnacentral:lncRNA from 1 species